CAGCCGCCGCGGUAAUACAAAGGAUGCAAGCGUUAUCCGGAAUGAUUGGGCGUAAAGCGUCUGUAGGUGGCUUUUCAAGUCCACCGUCAAAUCCCAGGGCUCAACCCUGGACAGGCGAUGGAAACUACCAAGCUAGAGUAUGGUAGGGGCAGAGGGAAUUUCCGGUGGAGCGGUGAAAUGUGUUGAGAUCGGAAAGAACACCAACGGCGAAAGCACUCUGCUGGGCCGACACUGACACUGAGAGACGAAAGCUAGGGGAGCAAAUGGGAUUAGAUACCCCAGUAGUCCCUGUCUCUUAUAU
rnacentral:rRNA from 1 species